UCCCGCUCGCUGCGUGCGCGCCCGGCGGGCUGCGUGAGGUUUGCCGGGAGCCCUUCAGGCGCGAAGCCACCACCAGCUCCUCAGCCCGCCGUCGCCGGCACUUGGGCGGCAGCGGCAGCCCGCCGUAGAAGGUCCCCUCGCGGCGCUGCUCGGCUCUUUCCUUGUCCCGCCCGCCCGCCCGCCACCCCCUUUCCUCAGCCUCCGGGCUUUUUGGGGGACACCAUGCCGGGGACGCCGACGGUUCCCGGGUCCCCACCGCCGCCCGGCCACCGCCAGCCCCGGCGCGACUGCGCGGGGGGCGCUCGUCGGCUCUCGGUGGCGGGAUAAUGUGCCGUCUUCGCCGCCGCGCCUGCUGGUCGCCCACCCGAGAGGCCCCGAGUCGCCGCCAUGUCCCCCCCAGCCUCGGCGGCCGCAGCCAGUAGCAGCGAGAGAGGCAGCAGCGCCUCGGUGCCUCUGGAGGAGGCGGAGGGGGCCCGAGAGGAGCAACGGCCUGUGAAGCAGUCACUCAGCAAGUCGCUCUGUAGGGAGUCACACUGGAAGUGCCUGGUGCUCUCUCUCCUCAUGUACGGCUGCAUGGGAGCCAUGACCUGGUGCCAUGUGACAAAGGUGACCCGGCUGACCUUUGACAGCGCCUACAAGGGAAAGUCCAUGAUGUACCAUGACAGCCCCUGCUCCAAUGGCUACAUCUACAUCCCCUUAGCCUUCCUGGUGAUGCUCUACGUGGUCUACCUGGUGGAAUGCUGGCACUGCUACACCCGCAAUGAGCUCCAGUACAAGGUUGACGUGGAGAGCGUUCACGAGCGCGUCCAGAGGAUGCAGCAGGCCACACCCUGCAUCUGGUGGAAAGCCAUCAGCUACCACUACGUCAGGAGGACUCGCCAAGUCACCCGCUACCGCAACGGGGACGCGUAUACCACCACCCAAGUGUACCACGAAAGGGUCAAUACCCACGUGGCAGAAGCAGAGUUUGACUACUCCAACUGUGGGGUGAAGGACAUCUCGAAGGACCUGAUUGAUCUGGAGAACUUCCCGGCCACCCGGCUCCGCUUCACCAAGUGCUUCAGCUUUGCCAACGUGGAAUCUGAGAACUCCUAUCUGACCCAGAGGGCCCGCUUCUUCACAGAGAACGAGGGACUGGAUGACUAUAUGGAGGCAAGGGAAGGCAUGCACCUUAAGAAUGUGGACUUCAAAGAGUACAUGGUGGCCUUCUCAGACCCAGACAACCUACCUUGGUACGUCUCCCACUAUGUCUUCUGGGUUGCUGCUCUCUUGACUUUGUCUUGGCCCUUGCGGGUCUUGAAUGAGUUCCGCACUUCCUACGUCCACUACCAUGUAGAGAAACUCUUUGGGUUUGAUUAUGUGGCAGUAACACCGGCUGAAGAGCGCCCUUUCUGCCGGAGGAUGCCCCGGGUCAACACGGUGGACAGCACUGAGCUGGAGUGGCAUAUCCGGUCCAACCAGCAGCUGGUGCCCAGCUACUCUGAGGCUGUCCUCAUGGACUUGGUGGGACUGUCUAGCUGCACUACCUACUCCUCCUGCCGCUAUGGGAGCUACAGACAGAACUGUGAGCAGUGCCACAGGACUAUAAGCAGUUCUUCCAUCUUCUCCCGCAGCGCCCUCAGCAUCUGCAACGGCAGCCCCAGAAUCCCCUUCAGCAGCAGCCGCUUCUCACUGAGCCGCCUCUAUGGCUCACGGCGCAGCUGCCUUUGGCAGAGCCGGAGUGGGAGCCUGAAUGAGCAGAGCUGCCCAACUGAACAGACCCGCCUGUCCAGCCAAGUCACUGUGGAGGAAGAAGACCCUCCUCCAUACCAGGAUGCACUCUACUUCCCCAUCCUCAUCGUGCACCGAAAUGAGGGCUGCCUCAACCAUGACCACCGCCAUCUCCAUCGGAAUGGGUCCUGCGUGGAGACCUCGCUGUGAGGGUGUGAAAGUACCUACAGGAUAAGUUCCAUGUACCCAGAUGUGGGGAGGGUUUUUUUUUGGGGGGGAGCAGAUAAAAAGAGAGGUCCCAUGUGAAUCAGAGAGAAUGGCUCCCUCUUAUCAUCCCACAAAGGACUCAACAGCUCCUGAGCUCUGUUCCGGCUCUGGAGACCCUGCAAUGGCUUUGAUGUGAGGUGGGCAGCUAACGCCACCAUCAAAACUACUGCACAGAACUAAACACUGGCAGCCACAUGCAAAAAAAAAAAAAAUCUGAAGGGAAGGGCAGUAACAGCCCAAGUAUUGGGUGUGUGUGUCUUUCUUCCUAGCCUCCAGCUAACCAGGCCACCUUGACAAUAUCUGUCUAGCAGGAGCAGUCCCUGCCCCAUAAUUAUGAUUAUUAUUGUGGGGAGGGGACGUCAUCCAAUCUUUGUAGAGUCACACACUUUGGCAGUUGAAUUCAUGGCAGUGUAGCAUGUUUCCUUUAGAAGCAAGGCAAUUAACUGCACUGGUUUCCCAGGCACAAGGAGCUGAGAAAUAACUGAGAAGCAACUACAAGCCAGGCCGCCUUCCUUUUUCUAAACCAUGCUCCGACUGUUACGCUGUUCUCAGCUGCUGGGGAUGCGAGAUCUUAGGAUGUCUCCUUGGAAAGCCUUGAUGUUUCACAUCUGAGAAUCAGCAUCCCAUAGUCUGUGACCAAACUAUAUGAAGAAAAGAGGUGUGCUGUGCCCAUGAAUUUAAUCUUCCCAGUGCCAUCAGAAAGAAUACAGUUCUGAAGGUUUGAGGCAUCUCUGAAAGAUAGGUCUUCCUAGCCACGAUGUGGCUUUGCCACAAUCCAAGAUCUGAAACAAGUCACUGCUUCUCAUAGCUUUCUCUUCUCUUCCUCUGCUCACAUUGCCUGUGGAAUUGCAUCAUUAAGGAGUCCCGCAGGAGGUGGGGGGGAAUCUGCAAUCAGUAACAGUUUCUUCUGACUAAACAACAUUUAGCCACCUUCCAGGAACUGCUGAGGAUCUGUGAUUCCAUGUUGCUUUUCAGUGGGUGCCACUUUUAUCAAGCACAUUUCUGUUGUAAGCACACCUUUUACAUUUUUGCUUUGUGAGAAAAGGUUGUUUUUUUUAAUGUCCACCCUAAGCAUACGAGUAGAAAUGCUCUUUCUGAAUCAGCACACAUUCUUGGGACUCUGGUAAUUUUGUGGAUCACCCACUGAGAUUUUAUUUUUUGUACACUGCUUUGUAAUAUGAAGGGGAGGGAGGGAACCUACACGUACACUUGGAAAGUCAUUUUUAACCAGUGCAAGAUGUUUCUACCACAACCAUAGCUGCUCACUUGGGGGGGUGUGGAGAAUAUAGGUAGAAUAUGUCCAGAUGAUUUACUAUCCAUAUCAGUUACACCAUUCAAAUAAUCCCUAGCGGCACUGUCAGCUGAUGGCUAAUGAGGCCUGAUGUUGGACAGCAUCCCAUUAAUCAAUCAAGGUAAAAAAUGCUUAUUUAUUUAUUUUAAAAAGCUGGCCUAGACACACAAAUGAGUCUCCAGAGGCAAGAGAAGCAUAUUCAUAGGACCAGGUGAUACAAGGAGCAUUCUGUCCCCUUUCAAAAUAAUAUGAGAUGAUUUAGUGUUUUGCUUUUCUCUCUUGCUAAGCAACAAUAUUUCCCUGGUGCUGUGGGGGGGAAAUGCACAAUGAGGUGUAUGUGAAUUAUAUAAAAGCUUUUCUACAUCAGCCUUUCAUGGUUCCACAACCAAAAGAAUUAGGCAGAUUGAAAAAUCUGCAACAAAACCCUCAUAAAAUAUUUUAAGUUCAAUGGGAAACGGCAUUUUGAAUUUUUUGUCCAGCUCCACUGAAUUUGCAAGGUGUCAACAAAGCAUAGCAAUUUAAAUUUGUUGUCUUGGAGGCAUUUCAUAUGGAUGUUGCAAUGCAAAGUAGACAUGCAUGGCUGACAUUUAUUUUAGGAAUUUGCAGAGGAUAAAAUGUCCUCAGACACACUGGAUUAAAAAACAAAAACAAAACAUCUGCCUUGGUGCGAGUUCUGAGCCACCUAUUUCUUUUACUGCAUCUAUUUGUUCCUGUGAACGGAAAUGCUGCCUGUUGUUUUUUGCUAAAGGUGCUGUGAGAUCAUUACGGUUUGCACAAACAGAGGACGUUCUGCUGUUUUACAUUCGCCACAAACUGGGACAGUGCCAUAAACGUGAAGAUAAAAUAUAUUUUAUAUGUUAGAGAUUUGUAAUGCUCUGGAGUCUAAAAUGGUAGAAUAGUGUUUCACCUUCACCAGAAUCCAAUACCAAAGCUUCCUUGCCCAAUAAAAUAACAUGCUCACUUAAAGAAAUUCAGUUUCUGGGGCAUAAUUCUAGAACAGCAACACAAAUCACCAACCUGGUAGUAGGGGUCCAAACUAAAGAACUAGCUGCUAAUCUGGUUUAUUUGUUCUGAUAAUAGAACUUGGGUUUGUUUGUGCAUUUGAUGCAGGCUGCGCACUGUUCUGAUCAUAACUACUCUUUCUGAUUUAAGUUGCCAUCUCUAUUGAUUUCGUGUUUUAUAUCUCCAUUAAUUGUGUGUGUGUGUGUAUCACAUUUAUAUCCUGGUCUUUCUUCAAAGAGCCCAAGGUAGCAAAAAUCAGCAUACCCAAUUUUGUCCUCACAACACCCCUGUGAGGUAGUGUCGAUUGGGAGAGGGGGUUCCCACAGCUGAAUGCAAAAAUCUUUCUCUCUGAAAGAAAUAACUCCUUUUCUUCCACUUCACCUUAAUGGCAUUUCAUUCAUUUUCUAAUUCAUUUAAAUGCCGAAGCAGGUUCUCUUCACUUAAACUUGUUGCCAUGGAAAUGACUGGCAGGUCUUUGCUGCCUGUAGGUGAACAGACAAACAUAACAGGACACUUGUCUUCCUCGCCUCCCUAUGACUGCUAUCCUGUGUCACCUCCCUCCCUAGCAGGCAAGGCAUACAGAAAGGUGGGUCAAUGAACACAUAUUACAGCAGUAAAAAUGUGUCACACACAAGCACACAAACAGAGAGAAAGAGUGGUUGCAAGAAGCGCCAGGACAGAAUUGGAGGCCUCCCAUUAUAAUAAACAGGGUAGAGCAGCUGAGGGGAAUAAUAAUUAUGUGCAGAGCUUCCUAAUGAAACCUCUCAUGCAAACAAACAGGUAGGGUUGGAUUAAAACUAGCUCAAUGUACCUGGGACGCAGGUGGUGCUGUGGGUUAAACCACUGAGCCUAGGGCUUGCCGAUCAGAAGGUCGGCAGUUCAAAUCCCUGCGACGGGGUGAGCUCCCGUUGCUCGGUCCCAGCUCCUGUCAACCUAGCAGUUCGAAAGCACGUCAAAGUGCAAGUAGAUAAAUAGGUACCAUUACAGUGGGAAGGUACAUGCUGGUCGCAUGACCCAGAAGCUGUAUGCCAGCUCCCUUGGCCAAUAAUGCAAGAUCAGCGCCGCAACCCCAGAGUUGGUCACAACUGGACCUAAUGGUCAGAGGCACCUUUACCUUUACUGCAUCUGGACUGGUGCUCAUACUAUAUUUUAUCCCUUGGUCACUGUAUCUUUAACUACCUGUUGUUACUUGGAAUGUACCAGCUGUUAAAUAAUAUGGCGCCAAGAAAAUGAGCCUAACAUACAACUAGUAUACAAUUGUGAAAUGGCCAUAAAAAUGUAAUGCAUGCAGAAACCCAUUUAGCAUCACUAACUUUGCAGCUCCCAAAUCAAUGUCAUUGCACUUAGAGGAAAAGCUAAGAGAUAGAGCCAUUGCAUGGGAAAUGGCCCUUCUGUCAUAUGCAUUCAGUUCAGAAAAGCGGAAGCCGAGUUUGCAAUUUUAUAUGGAAACUACUUUUCAGACCACCUGAGUCAUAUGAAGACUUGCAUUUUCUGCCCUAUCUUCAGAGUUCAAAAGUCUGUAAGGCUAACAAACAACUUUGCUAAGCCCACCUUGGAGAGGAAGGAUGGCAGGUUGAUAGUUCACCCCACCUUUGUUGCUUUGCUAUACAGCACAGGUGGGCUGCAGCCCCUAAACCUUACUUUCUGUUGCUUCCAGUACUUCUUGAAGCUGCCCUAUUGUGAUUUGGAGUAUCUUUCUCCCUCUUUUUGUGUAGUUG